AAAACAUCUAUUUUUCCAUCAUCGUCACAUCUCAACUCCAGCCCUCUUGCUCUCUAAUGGCCACAACUGUCUCUCUCUCCAUCUCCUUAGACACCCAUCCCCAUCCCCACCGCUGCCUCCACCACCUCCACCGCCGCCUCUACAGUACAACCAUUCACUUUAAUUCCCAUCAAUCACCAUUCUUUACCCCAAAUCACAGACAACCUAAACACACUACUGGCAACUUCCCUAAAUACUCCCAUCGCAAUUUCACUCCCCUCUCAC
rnacentral:lncRNA from 1 species